CAUCUCUCUUCUCUUCCUUGUUCCUAAAACCCUUGUUUCGGCUCUCUCUCGCUCUCGCUCUCACUCUCGCAUUCGGUGUAGUUAGCGGUGUGAUUGGAGUGGCUGUGGGUAAUUUCACUCUACCUAAAACCCUAAUCCAACAAAGAAAGAGAAAAGAAUUUGAAGCACAAUCAAAAAAUCUGAAGGUAUUCCUCUCUCAAUUGAUUAUUUUUGAAACACUCCCUCUCCUGAAACCCUAUUUUAUCUCUCUGAAAUCGUCCCUCUUGUAAAAUCCUCUUCUCUCUGAUUUUUCCCCUCUUUUCUCUGUGUAGGGUUCUCUCAGAAUUCUGAUUCCAAUCUUUCUUGGCUCUUACAGAUUUGAUAGGGAACGAGGCCAGGGAGGUGGAAGUGUACUUCAAGUUGAUGUGGUGAGUUUUUCGAGCAGAACUUUCAGAUUCAAGUUGGUGAUGGAUCUAGAACCAAAUUCUGGCAUGAUAAGUGGUGUGGGAAGCUAUGCCUCAAGAGAGAAUUCUCUGGUUUGUUCAGUUUUGCUCAAUCUAAGGAAGGUUCUGUCAAGCAUUACUUUGAUUUAAAAGGAAAUUCAGUAGAAUGGGUGAUACCGUUUAGAAGGGCUUUGUAUGAGUGAGAGGAGUUGGAUGCAUCAAGAUUGAGAAUUCUUCUAGCAGCAGCCCCUUCCCUCAGACCUGGCUGUGCUGAUGUACCUUGUUGGGCAGCGGCAUCCUCAGGUGUGUAUUCCACAUCCUCUGUGUAUAAAUUCUGCUCUGAUAGCUUUGGUUCCUCAGCUAGAGGUUGCAGGUUGGUGUGGGUGAAGUAUAUCCCACACAAAGUUCAAUUCUUUGGAUGGUUAGCUUGGAAGGACAAAGUAAAAUCUCCUGAGUUUCUACAGAAAAUUGGGGUCUUGAGUAGCAACUCAGAUAUUAAAUGUACCUUUUGCAAAUCUGAGCCUGAAUCUACUCGCCAUGUCCUUCUGCUGUGUCAUUUCUCCUGGCAUAUCUGGGCUGCUAUGCUUAAGUGGUGGGGAUUUGUUGGGGCAUUGCCGGAUGCAGUGGAAAAGGUGCUUAUCUGGUGGGAUGGAGCCAAAGUUAGGAAAUCAGAGAGAGCGUUAUGGAAAAGUAUUCCUCUAGCAGUGUUGUGGUCUAUUUGGAAGCUCAGAAACGAGUGUAAAUUCAAGCACUCAAAUCCUAGCCUUGUUGAAGUCAUUGAGUUGAUCAAGAUUAGAGUUGCUAUAUGGGCGAAGUCAUCACAUAAUCUAGCCCAGUUUUCAGUUAAUGAUUUUAUCUUUAACAUGAAUCAAAUUAGAUUUUGCAUCAGUGGUCAUGGACCUGUGUGACUGCUGCUGAGUAGUGGGUUUUUGGCUGCUGGGGUUGUUCUAGUUUGUUUGUUAGGGUUGUUCUGCUGUGGGUAUAUUCAUUGUUGUCUUGCUCCAGCUUGGGAUUGCCAAGGGUUUGUUCCAGCUUGCAGAGUGGAGGUUGCAAAUAGAUAGGCUGUUUGCUGUAGUGUCCUCCUGUGGUGUUGCUCAAGUAGUAAGGGGAGUUUUGUUCUCUGUAUGCAUUCUGAAUUAAGGAAAGUGUUGCUGGGGCUUCUAAGUAUUGCAGGGGUCUGUUGCUAACUGCUGGUAUGCUGGGGCUACUUAGUGUGGCUCUGCUGAUGGUUCUGCUGCUAAGUGAUUUCUGCUGUCAUGUUUGUUGGGCUGAUUUGCUUGGGCUACCAAUCUGUCUAGGCACUAUGGACCUGAACUGCUUGAGGAGUGGGGCUUUUGAUUCUAUUCCUUGUUGUUUCCUGCUGCUAAGAGCAGAAUGUCAGCUUCAGCAUCUAAUAUUUUGUCUACUGAUCACUGUAUGAGGAGACAGUAUGCUUGAAUCUAGAUCUGCUGCUAUAGGAUUGUGUCUAAUAUGCAUCAACUGUAUGAGGGGAGAGUAGUACUGUGGAUUGCUGCUCGUCUGCUGAUGGAAACAAGGGAGUAGAUCUAUUCUCUGCUGGUCUGUUGAGGUGUUUUGGUGCAAGGGAUUUCUGUUGUCAUGUUUGUUGGGCGGAUUUGCUUGGGCUACCAAUCUGUCUAGGCAUUAUGGACCUGAACUGAUUAAGGAAUGGGGCUUUUGAUUCUAUUCCUAGUUGUUUCCUACUGCUAAGAGCAAAAUGUCAGCUUCAACAUCUCACAUUUUGUCUAUUGAUCACUGUAUGAGGAGAGAGUAUGCCUGAAUCUGGAUCUGCUGUUAUAGGAUUGUGUCUAAUAUGCAUCAACUGUAUGAGGGGAGAGUAGUACUCUGUUAUGAUUUUCUAUCUAGAAGGAUAAUGGAAAUUCUAUUUGAGAUAUUGAAAGGUUUUGACACUAUAUUGAUGCCAUUGUUAGAAUGAACAAAUUGCUUGAUGACGAGAAUAAAGAGGAUAAAACAUUCUGGAAUCAGGAGGCUCUCAAAGAGGAAGAAAAUGAUGAAAAUUACGAAGAAGGGGAGGUUGUGGAUGUUUUUGAUGGUGACUUUGAUGAUGAUUAAUAACUUCAAUAUCCAUGACCACUUGAACGAACUUAUUGUCCAAUUACAUGUUAUACUGGAAUCAGGAACCUGAACCAGAUGAAGAAGUAGAAAAUGAAGCAGAUGACAGAAUGCGGACAAAGAAGAUACUAAUAUUUCCUGGAAAGCAAUUGCCAAAGAAGAAGACGAAAAAGAAGGUUCUUUCAAAUCUUGGAAAGGCUCCCUAGGAUGAUGAAACUGCUGAGCAGUCUACUGUACCUGAACAUCAUGAUGCACCCGAUGACGUAGAAGUGGAGAGAAUAGUUAGAAAAUCUACAAGAACUUCAGUUAUUGUUAGGCAAGCUGAAAGAGAUGCAAUACGUGCAGCUUUGCAAGCAACAAUGAAGGGAAAAUAACUUCAUUGUUGUCAUCAUUUUCUGGUUGAUGCUUGCUGGGCGGCUGCUGCUGCUGCUGCUGCAAUGUUGCUGUGAGGCGGCUGCUAUUAGAUGUUGGUCUGCUGGAUAAGGUUGUGGGUGAUUUUCGUGCCGUUUUGCCUGUCUUUGUUCGGUUCAUGUUUUCAUUUUGUUAUAUUUUGUUUCUAAUGUGGGUUCGCAAUUUGGAUGUAUUUGGGUAUUUUAGUGAGUUUACCCUUUUAGAUUUUAUACACUGCUUCUAAAAGCAGUAUCGGUAGUGUUUUUUUGCUUGCACAUCAACUUUAGGUGAUUUCAUAUCAAUGUUAUUAGUUUAUAAUAGUAGUGCCUGAGGGAUGCCUCUUGUAAAUUUGUAAAUCUUAUAAAAAUAUAUAAAUUAUUUUUAAUUAUUUU